UGGGGAAUUUUGGACAAUGGGGGCAACCCUGAUCCAGCAAUGCCGCGUGAGUGAAGAAGGCCUUCGGGCUGUAAAGCUCUUUUGUCAGGGAAGAAAAGGUCAUCGAUAAUACCGGUGGCUGAUGACGGUACCUGAAGAAUAAGCACCGGCUAACUACGUGCCAGCAGCCGCGGUAAUACGUAGGGUGCAAGCGUUAAUCGGAAUUACUGGGCGUAAAGCGUGCGCAGGCGGCCUCGCAAGUCAGAUGUGAAAUCCCCGAGCUCAACUUGGGAACUGCAUUUGAAACUACGGGGCUAGAGUGUGUCAGAGGGAGGUAGAAUUCCAAGUGUAGCAGUGAAAUGCGGAGAGAUGUGGCGGAAGACCAGUGGAGAAGGCGGCCUCCUGGGAGAACACUGACGCUCAUGUACGAAAGCGGGGGGAGCAAACA
rnacentral:rRNA from 1 species